rnacentral:rRNA from 1 species
AUUGAACGCUGGCGGCAGGCCUAACACAUGCAAGUCGAGCGAGCGGCGGAGGGGGGAGAGAUGUGUGGGAAACUGCCUGAUGGAGGGGGAGAAAUCCUGUAAACGGGGGCUAAAACACCAUACCAUCACAGAUGCCCAGGUGGGAUUAGCGAGUUGGUGGGGUAACGGCUCACCUAGGCGACGAUCCCUAGCUGGUCUGAGAGGAUGACCAGCCACACUGGAACUGAGACACGGUCCAGACUCCUACGGGAGGCAGCAGUGGGGAAUAUUGCACAAUGGGCGCAAGCCUGAUGCAGCCAUGCCGCGUGUGUGAAGAAGGCCUUCGGGUUGUAAAGCACUUUCAGCGGGGAGGCGUUACCCGCAGAAGAAGCACCGGCUAACUCCGUGCCAGCAGCCGCGGUAAUUC